rnacentral:rRNA from 1 species
GACGAACGCUGGCGGCGUGCUUAACACAUGCAAGUCGAACGGAAAGGCCUCUUUCGGGGGGUACUCGGGUGGCGAACGGGUGAGUAACACGUGAGUAACCUGCCCUUGACUUUGGGAUAACUUCAGGAAACUGGGGCUAAUACCGGAUAGGAGCUCCUGCUGCAUGGUGGGGGUUGGAAAGUUUCGGCGGUUGGGGAUGGACUCGCGGCUUAUCAGCUUGUUGGUGGGGUAGUGGCUUACCAAGGCUUUGACGGGUAGCCGGCCUGAGAGGGUGACCGGCCACAUUGGGACUGAGAUACGGCCCAGACUCCUACGGGAGGCAGCAGUGGGGAAUAUUGCACAAUGGGUGGAAGCCUGAUGCAGCAACGCCGUGUGCGGGAUGACGGCCUUCGGGUUGUAAACCGCUUUCGCUCAUGACGAAGCUUUGUGUGACGGUAGUGGGUAAAGAAGCACCGGCUAACUACGUG